GGCGACCUCUGCCACGGAUUUGGACGAAGAUUCCCCCGAGUCUUCAGGUUCUGCCUCCUCCACAGAAGACGUGUAUACCAGGUUCAGGAGUUCCUCAAAGUGCUCUUUCCACCGCCCGACAAUGUCCCCAGUACAGGUCAACAGUUCUCCACCCUGACUGUACACAGCCUGAGCAAAGCCCUGCCUCCCCUUCCUGAGGUGCUGGAUGAUUUGCCAGAACCUCCUCGAGGCCAACCGAAAGUCCUUCUCCAUAGCCUCUCCGAACUCCUCCCACACCUGAGUUUUAGUUUCCAUAGCUGCAGCCCUUUUGGCCAACCGGAACCCGUCAGCUGCUUCAGGAGACCCCCGAGCCAGCCAGGCCCAAAAAGCCUCCUUCUUCAGCCUGACGGCUUCCCUCACCACUGGUGUCCACCAGCGGGUUCUUGGGUUGCCACCAUGACAGGCACCAGUGACCUUCAGGCCACAGCUCCUAACAGCUGCUUCUGCAAUGGAGGCUUUGAACAUGGACCACUCAGAUUCCAUGUCCCCAACCUCCCCGGGAUGCAGGAGAAACUCUUCUGGAGGUGGGAGCUGAAAACCCCACGGACAGGGUCCUCUGUCAGGCAUUCCCAGUUCACCCUCACUACAUGUUUGGGUUUACCAGGUCUGUCCGGCAGCCUUCCCCACCAUCAGAUCCAACUCACCACCAGGUGACGAUCAGCUGACAGCUUUGCUCCUCUCUUCACCUGAGUAUCCGAGAUAUACGGCUGCAGGUCUGAUGAUACAACUAUGACGUCCAUCAUGGACCUUUGGCCUAAGGUGCUCUGGUACCAGGUACACUUAUGAGCAACCUUAUGCUCCAACAUGGUGUUUGUUAUGACCAGUCUAUGACUAGAACAGAAGUCCAAUAACAGAACACCACUCGGGUUCAGAUAGGGCCAUUCCUCCCAAUCAUGUCUUCCAGGUUUCUCCAUAGUUGCCCACAUGAACAUUGAAGUCCCCGAGGAGAGCUACGGAAUCCCCAGGCGGUCCCCCUUCCAGGAACCACCCAGAGACUCCAAGAAGACUGAAUACUCUGAGCUGCUGUUCGGUUCAUGAGAACAGACAACAGAGUUUCCUCUCAGAGAGGCGACCCUCUGGUUCUCCAGGGAGAACUCCGACAAAGCGGCACUCACGCUAACCCUAACUCAAAAAACAGCAUAUAUUUGGAAAGUUCUAUUUUGCUUAAUCUUACAGUCAGAUGUUAGAAAUUAAGAAACAUUCCAUUGAUUAAAAACACAGAUUUUUAAUGCUCAGUUAUAAAAGAGAACAUCCUGAUCACAGUUCUAUUAACAGACCAUAAAACACGAAAACAUGAGACCCAUCUGGAUCAUAUCAUCAGAAUGAAUCACUGCAGUGAAUCUGUUCUGAAACUCAUCAGAUCCUGAAGGGUUGGACUGAAGCUCAGUUUUACCUCAAUGAUUGUCAGAAUUUCACAGCUGCAGGAAUCAGACUGAUUCAGUCAUUCUGAUCUGAUUAAACUCUUCUGUCUGAAGUUUUAUUUCUGGAGAUUCUGAACAAAGAAUUUGGAGAAUUUUUUGUCAUUUUUGUUGAUUAUUCAGCAGCUCUGUUCAGUCUGAACCUUCCUCCAGCAGAUCUGUUCCAUAUUAGAAGCUGUGAUGAAGCUGUGGAGCUUCACCAUUCUGACUUAUUCCUGCAGUUUGUAGUGAAACUUUAACUUCUUAGUGCCAUAAAACAUCCUGAACACGACACAGAGUGGUCAGUGUUCCUCCUGAUUUAGAGACCAGCGGGUUGAAGGACUGGAGAAGCUUCAGUCUGCUGUUGAUGACUUUUAGUUGGAACCAGGAGAAGCUGCUGAGUUCUGCUGCACUGAUCUUCAUGUUGAACUGAUAUUUUAUCAUUGAUGAGCCAGAAGAAAGACACCAGUGAAUGUGUGGUUUUUAAUAUUUAUUCUAUAUUUAUGGAGAAUGUUCCGUUGAAACGUGUUUCAUUUUCAUGUCUUGCUUUUGAAGCUUUCUUCUCACUGAAUGUUCAUAGAUGAACAGUUUUUAUUCAUUGCUGCUCUGUUUGUUUUCCAUCAACCAGUUCAUGAGGUUCAACUGAACUAGUGUUGGUGGAUUAUUCCACAUGAAGUCCAAUAAAUCUGAACCAACCAGAACCUCCUCAGAACCUACUGGUUAUUUAUCAGUGGUCAGAGUUCUACCUUCAUACUGGGAAUAUUUCCAGAGUCCAGGUCCUUCAAGUCCAUAGAGGAGAACGUCCCCUGUAGAAAGUUCUAGAGAAGACUUACCGACAACUGGACAGUUGUCGGCAGGUCUACUCUAGAACUUUGUCCAGUUGUUGGUAGGUCUACUCUAGAACUUUCUCCAGUUGUCGGUAGGUCUACUCUAGAACUUUCUCCAGGGGACGUUCUCCUUUCCUGCUUCCAGUCUUUAAGUUUAGUCUCACAUUCAGAAUUGGAGACUUCCAGGUCCUUGAAGUUCAUAGAGGUGGGUCCACAUCUGAGUUCUGGUAAAAAAUGACUCCAGAUCAGUUUUACAUCCAUCCAGGUGUCUCAGUCUGAAUGCUGAAUCUGGUUUCUGAUCAGAACCUUUUUAUUCUAUCAUUUUAUUCAACCGUUUAAUCAGAAAUUGGAUCAUUUUCAAGCAAUUUAGGUCAAUUUUCAAUUAAUUUUCAACUAAUUUCCUGUAUUUUGGUUAUUUUUGAGUCAUUUUCGGUGAAUUCUGACUCAUUUUGGACAAUUGGCUGGUCAUUUUCAACAAGUUUUAUGUCAGAUUGGAUCUUUUCUCGUUAUUUUGGAUCAUUUUUGUGUCUGGGAUCAUUUUAGAGUCAUUUAGAACAAAUUUCAUGUCAUUCUAAACUCCUUUUCUGUGAUUAUGGACGAUUCUUUGGGUCAUUUUGAACAUUUUCUGAACCUUUUUAAAUAAUUUUCUUACUUAAUUUCCAUAACUUUAUUAAUGAUCAGAGUUCUAACUUCGUCCUGUGAAUAUUUCCAGAGUUCUAGGUCCUUGAAGUCCAUAGAGGUGGGUCCAGUUUUACCACUUUUUAAUGGCAGUCUUUACCAGAACUCAGAUGUGUUUUCCUCCUAAAUGUCAUGGUCUUAUCUGCUGGACUGAUCAGAAAUGAUGGAAAAAGUCUCUGAUAAUCUGCUGGAACGUGAGCAGCUCAUGGAGGAGGUUCUCUCAGGUUCGGUUGGUUUCACUGGGCUGAUUGUGGUGAAAGUUCAAUCUGUUGCUUUUAGGCUUUGUUGAACUGAGAUCAGUCCUUUAUGCAGUUUUAUCCUCCAUGCACAGGCUCGGAUGUUUUUUUUGCUGCUUUUUAAACCCUGUUGGAGUUUCAGUGAAUCAGAACUGUUUGAAUGUCGACACUGUUGUUUCUUUGUCUGAUCAGCAGCUUCUUGAACAGCUUUAAGUGGUGAGAAACUCACCGACUGAUUAAAAGAGAUGCUGAAAUGAUUUCAGACAUUCAGAC
ensembl:lncRNA